rnacentral:pre_miRNA from 1 species
CCCUUAACUAUUAAAAGUUUCGUUUUGGCCUCUUAACUUAUUUUUUGGUUACGUUUUGGUCCCUUAACUUAUUUUUUUGUUUCAUUUUGGUCCCUUAACUCUAAUACAUUCAUCCUAACAUAAAGGACCAAAGUGGUUGACGGAGGAAGAGUUAAGGGACCAAAACGAAACCAAAAAGUAAGUUAAAGGACCAAAAUGAAACUUUUAAUAGUUAAGAGA